AUUGAACGCUGGCGGCAGGCUUAACACAUGCAAGUCGAACGAGUGGCGGACGGGUGAGUAAUGUCUGGGAAUCUGGCUGAUGGAGGGGGAUAACGACGGGAAACUGUCGCUAAUACCGCGUACCAUAGGAUGAGCCCAGAUGGGAUUAGGUAGUUGGUGGGGUAAUGGCUCACCAAGCCGACGAUCCCUAGCUGGUCUGAGAGGAUGACCAGCCACACCGGGACUGAGACACGGUCCAGACUCCUACGGGAGGCAGCAGUGGGGAAUAUUGCGCAAUGGGGGCAACCCUGACGCAGCCAUGCCGCGUGUAUGAAGAAGGCCUUCGGGUUGUAAAGCACUUUCAGCGGGGAGGCGUUACCCGCAGAAGAAGCACCGGCUAACUCCGUGCCAGCAGCCGCGGUAAUAC
rnacentral:rRNA from 1 species